GACUCCAUCCUGAGAUAAGAAAAUGGAGACAAACAGGAUUAAGUUACAGAGUCUCACAGCUGGAAAGUAUCAUGUCUUUCUAACUUCAGGCCUGGCACUCUAUCCACUACACCACCUAGUCACUAUCUCCAGUCUGGUGAAGUCUAUGAACCCCUUCUUAGAAUGAAGAUUUGAAGUGAUUGAAGAAAAUGUUAAUUUUCAUUUCAAGUGGGCAACCAGAGUAAAUCCUGGGUAAGGCCACACAGACCAAAGUGGACCAAGGAUAAAAUGACAUCAGUUCUUUGGAAACAACAGGGAAACAACCAUCCAAACAAAUGACCCCUUCCUUAGUAAGUAA
rnacentral:lncRNA from 1 species